UACGUAGGGUGCAGGCGUUAAUCGGAAUUAUUGGGCGUAAAGGGCGCGUAGGCGGUUUGACAAGUCUGAUGUGAAAUCUCUGGGCUCAACCCAGAGUCUGCAUUAGAAACUGUCGGGCUUGAGUAUGGGAGAGGUGAGUGGAAUUUCCGGUGUAGCGGUGAAAUGCGUAGAUAUCGGAAGGAACACCUGUGGCGAAAGCGGCUCACUGGACCAUAACUGACGCUGAGGCGCGAAAGCUAGGGGAGCAAACAGG
rnacentral:rRNA from 1 species